UACAGAGGUCCCAAGCGUUGUUCGGAUUCACUGGGCGUAAAGGGUGCGUAGGUGGUUAGGUAAGUCCGAUGUGAAAUCUCCAGGCUCAACCUGGAAAUGGCAUUGGAUACUAUCUAGCUUGAGGAGUGGAGGGGGAGCUGGAAUUCUCGGUGUAGCAGUGAAAUGCGUAGAUAUCGAGAGGAACACCAGUGGCGAAGGCGAGUCCCUGGACACUUCCUGACACUGAGGCACGAAAGCUAGGGGAGCAAACAGG
rnacentral:rRNA from 1 species